GAAUAUAUAACCUCUUUUUAAAGUGUAAGAACUAUUGUAUGGAGAUUUAGAUAUUUUUAAACUAAAAUAUAUAAUUGUAUGACUUCAAGUGUUGAGUAUUCUCUUACAGAACUGUUCCUUGAGGAUAAAUCUUCAUUUCUCUCAUGUGAAGAACUGUGCCGAGAUCUGCCCGUGGAAAAUUACUUUCUAGGAGCAAGAAUCACAAAGGACCUUUGCUUUCAGGCUUUUGUCUGAGGUCCACAGCAUAAUGAGCAAAAAUGGAAUGAAGGGUAUUAACCUUUGGAAGAUGAAAGAUUCGCACAGUGAUGGAAAUAUGUUACCAGCAAGUCUGAAGGAAUUUGCACAAAACAUGUUGGUUUAGGAUGUGAAACAACAGGGAAGAAUCAGACAAGACCUAAAUGGAAAGCAAAAAUCAGAAUAUCUCCUUUAAGGAAAGCACGCUGUAAUAUGAAUGCCUUUUUGUUUGUGCAAACUUGUAGGUGUGCAUACAGGGAAAGGAAAGGGAAUAAACCCCCAAAAGUGACUUCAGGCUGAUCUGGAAACUCCUCUGGGGUGCAACUGCUUGUGCACUGGGGUUGAAGAUGGACCAGGAGUGUAACAUGUGGUCAGGCUGGCCAUAAUUCAAGUGCAGACUUGGUUCUGAGCAUCCUGAUUCCUGCCUCACUUCACCAUGAACCAUCCCAGGUCUCUGCAACUAAAUAGUUCCCAAAUUACGGAGUUUGCAUUCUAAUCUGAAUUUUGCAACUCAAGCCUACCUGUGGUUAUGCAGUCAGACAGAAAAGCCAACAGCCAAGAGCAACGCCUAGUCACUGGCUUUGAUCUAGAAAUGGUUAUUAUCCAGCUAUCUCCAUUACAAAACAUCCAGUUUGCUAAACCUGGGUUAUCUACUGAUUUGGCUUCAUUUGAUAGGCAAGAGCAGGUCUAGCAUGGGAGAGCUUCACAUCCCCAAACGAUGCAUCUGUCACAAAACUGAUAAGUGAUAAACCUUGCAAAACCCGCGAGUAGGAAAUGACGUCUGACCACCUCCCAGCUGGCUCUACAGUUACUCCUAAAGAGCACCACUGGCAGCCCUUGCAGGUGAGAUGGAAAAGUGAGAAAUUCUUGCCUCACCCCACAGAGAUGAGUGUCUCCAGUGGGCAGAGAGAGGGAACGUGCUGCUGGUGACAGCUACAGCAGUGUGGCUGUGCAGAGGAGUUCAGUUCUCAAGAGAUGAGAUUAAGCAGAUUUUUCAUUUUUAUUUCCACACAAUUUCUUUGAAUUUAUUUUUUCCUGGAAGCAUAGGAGGAAGUUACUUAGAAAGGAAGUCACUUUGAAUACUCUUCACUCCAGAUGAGAAAAAACUCUUUAUCUGAGGAGUGAAUUUGGGUCGGGAUGUAGUAGCACAGUCCUCAUGCUGAACAACUUGCUGAACAUGUGGUAGUGUUUUGUGACAUGGUCUGUGGAGUGGGAAGUAGGCUGAGCUCACACAACCCACCUCAUUUAUGGCUUUACACAAGUAAAUAAGUAUGUUUUCAGCCACUCAACACAAGAAUGGCUUGCAAAUUGCAACCACCAUUGCCUGGCAGGUCAAAGGUUAACCUUUUCAACAGGUCAGACUGCAGUGCUAAUUCACCUCAGCAGUGAGUCCCAGGCAGCCUGUAAUGCAUAUUUGUGGUGGUUGUAUUUGUACAGCAUACACAUAAAAUGAAAACCGUAUGACAGAGGUUAGUCCUCUUAAAUGGCUGUCACAUUGGCUUGGGUUGCUUUUGUACAGUUAUCCACAUGUUAGCCAAGAUUCUGGUGGUAUUUUCGUAUGAAUUUUAUUGACGUGGUGAACUAACUUGGGUAAUUUCAUAGCUAUUAUAAUCAGCCAGUGGCCCAAGAAAUGCACUGCUUUAUUUAUCUCAAAAAUGUUGCUAACUGGUCUGGCCAGAUUCAGCUUCCAGUGGUGGCCUUCUUCCAGAUGUGGAAAACCCCUUUUUCUGACACAGAGGGUUCAGACAGUCCUCGUGAGCCUGGUCCACAAGAGCACUGAUGCUGUGGGCUGAGGGCUCAGCCCCUCUUUCCAGAUGUGUUUCCUCAAUGUUACACAAAGAAGGAGCUUGCAAGAGCUUCUUCAGCUCAGUUCACACCUGCCAAAGCUUGGACUAAGGCCUGGCUUAAAUGAAAUGUCUAAGUUAGGCAUUUAAACUCCCUUAUAUAUCCAGUUGGGGAUACCCUGGGGAAGUGCAUUUGUCCUUCGUGUGCGUGUGUCCACUUUACAGGGAGCCUGAGGUAACAAAUGUCCUAACACAGGGAUGAAAGCCGGGCACAUGUAGUCCUGGAUAGCUACACACCAUGUCAAAAACUCCUCAAACUGCUUCUUCAGGGGGCUUAGAUUCUCAUACAACCUUGUGUGCUACAUGGAUAUUACAUGCAGACAUAAUCCUGUGGAUGGUAGUGCAGAUGUGAGUCCAGCAGUCCAAAGGUCUCUGUCUAAAUGACCAAAAUAAGUCAUUUACUGUUUUUUGUUGGCACAGAAGUAUUAAAAUUUCCUCCUCCACAAAGCAGGAAGAGCAGACACAGCCCUGGACUUCCUGCCCCAGAUCCUUCCUGACCAAGAUGCCCUGCUCCAAGGGAGGAGCUGUGACCUUCCAAGGCUGUGUCUUGGCACACCAGGACAUGCUCAUGUCCAUAGCACACGUUCCUUGUACUGUUGCAAAACAGGUGAAAUAAAAAACUUACCACAUAGGCCAGUUUUAUGAGAUUUCUGCUGAAAGGUGAAAUAGCAAACAGAGAAGAAAUGCCUGAGAGCACAUGGCAGGAGACAAGUGAGAUGUCUUGGGAAGCUCCCAUUUCCAUCUCUCAGAGUUCCUCUACAUCCUUAAGAAAAGAAGAUGAGUGCUCCCCAUCUUUGGUGAAAUGCUUGAUGGAGCUGGCAGUAGCACUCCAGUUUAACACUGACUAUAAAUGAUGCUUACAUUUCAACAGCAUUUUUUAAUAAUAUUUUUCAUAAGUAUAAGCUAAAGGAGUUUCCACCAGGGUCAUUGAGAGUUCACUAAAUGCUGAUAGACUGUAUUCUGUAUUAAUGAUGCUAAGCUAACUGCCUCACAGAACUGCCAAACCCCUUUAUUUAAAGGAAUAGCACUGUAUUUCACAAGAAAAUAUUUUUAAAGCUUUCCUUACUGAUAAUUUGUCUAAAGAGAGACAAAUCUAAUUAUUUAUGUAUAAUCUGAAAGGUCCAGUGUGGGAUGUGUUCAAUAAGACACAUGCUUUAUUUAAGCAUACAUUUAGAGCACUGUGCUACACUGAUCAUUAAAAGAUUUUUUUCAAAAUUUUAAGUUUAACAGAAUUUCAGCAAUUAGCUUCUGCAGCUAAUUAUUGGAUUUUAUAAUCCAAUUUUAUAAUAAUUUUCUGACUCUUCAGGAACAGCUACAAGGAUUUGGCAGAGCCCUUGUACUGAGCUCAGGAUAAGGGUUUCCACACCAGAGGAGAAUUGCUGUGUAGGUCCCAGUUUCUAUGCCUCACAAGGGGAAGAGAUUUGCAGCAAAUCUGUUCCAGUUCACCCACAGCAGCAAGGUGGGUGACAGAGCUGGGAUUUAUCCCUUUGCAUGGGACAGUUGUUUAUUAGGCCAGAAAGUGGGGAUUUAUACCUGGCUGUAGGUAAGAGUCUCCCUUGCAUGGGUAAUGUGAGUCAAAAACCACCCUGGCUGGUACUUGUGGAAAUUCCACAGUGGUGGUGGCUUGAAAAGUGGGUUCGAGUUAGAAACCAGUUCUUGUUACAGUCACAAAUGUGAAGUGGCCUGAAAGCAAAUUACUGAGAAAGUGGUGUAGGUGAGAGAGGGAAAGAAUCUCCAGGAAUAGGUUUUUCCUUGUCAGCCCAGUGCAAUCCACUGAACCCACACGGCUGCACUGAGAAUUAACUCCUUGACUCCUCAGGGGAGAAUGAAUCUGUACAGAACAAUCUGCUCACACUUCUCCCCUCCCAUGUCAUGCUUGAAAUCUAUACAAUUUUAGAGGAGCUAUUUCUAAGCAGAAACCCAAAGACAACACCAAAAGUCUCUGCUUCCUACAAGUCUUCUGUCUACUCAUCAUGGAUCAAUUUAGGAAGCUGACAAAUCUUGCCAUUAGAGUGUGAAGACCACAGAAGUGUAAUGUGUAAUACCAAGCUAACCAAAAUGACUCUUUUAGCUCUGACUGUUUGUUUUAGUGACUGUUGCCAGAGUGUAAACAAAUUUUCAGAAAUACACUUACUGUGUAUCCUCUUCAUUAAGGACUGGUACCAUGGCCACACCCUGGCAGAACUGAGAUGGCAUCCAGAACUUGUGAUAUCUUGAGAACUGCAGGUUCAGCUUCUCAGGUGAUGUGGUGAUAGGUAUUUAUUGAGGGCCAUAUUCAAUGGGAAAACAAUUCCUAGGACACUUACCUCUCUGCUUUCCGCUGUGUGAAAACUGGUUCCAGCAUAUUGCUUUAUUGUCUGUGCUCUUGCCUAUCUGUGUAAGAUGGCAUCAAGUGACCCUAAACAAACUUGAGCUGAAGUACACAGGGAGAGGAUUAAUCAGUCAGGCACUUCAGCAUAAGCCUAAUGUUAAGCACACAACAUAAUGUUGAAGUGAAGUCAGUGGUAUUAUUUGUAUGUUCAAAGUUAACCACUGAGCUUAUCUGUUGUACCAUAUCAGUGCCUAAUGGCUUGUGCACUUACUUGCAAAUUUAAGAUACUUAAUGUGUUUAUUCUGGACUCUUCCUGUUGUUGUGCAUCAGAAAUUGUUGCCCUAAACCAACCAGGGUAGUCCAGGCCUAAAGCAGCAGUGCAGCCCAGCUCCUCCUCAGGCAGAGACAGAGCGAUGGGAUGGAGCUGGCUAUGGGCAGGGAAAUGCACACAGCAGGUCUGCAGCAGCUCCAGCAGCUGAUCAGGUUUUCCAGAGCCCUCAAGCAAAUGUCACUAGCUCUGGCUUUAGCCUCCAGGCCAGCAGUUAGGCCAGUGCUGAAGGUUUUGGAAGUUUUUUGCUCACUGGGCUGGGAAUAGUGAGAGGAACAUUGUGGUUUCCCUGUGGCUGUCGCAGACAGAAGAGCUGAGCUCUGGGCUUUGCUCACUCAUGGAUAUUCUGCAUUUGUGCAAAUCCUCUCACUGCAUCACUGGUCUGGGCAUGACUGUAUUUUGCUGUUCCAGCUCCUCUUUGUGCAUGCAAAGGUGACAGACCCCAAGGCCCAGAGACACAAAACCUCUGUGAGCUGGACCACUCCACCUGACUCCUUCUUGAUUGUAUGGAAGGACAAUCUGGAGAGAUUUAGGCAAUAAACCAAUAUUCCCACCCACUAAUAACAACAACAAAAAAAAAGGUUCUUGAGUGAUGUGCUCAGCACCUUCUAUUCUCACUGAAGUAGCUCCUUUGGGACUACUUUCAUGUGUCUUUAGGGAAUGUAACCAAAUUAUACCACAUGAGAGCUGGUAAUUUUAAUAUUAUGCUGUAAGGGGAAAUCUAUAAGCAUAACAGGAAAGACUGGAUGUUUUCCAUUCAUAUUUUUAGAAUGGUUGCUUCUCAUCUGUGCAUAUUUGCUUUUCAACAUCUCUGGCAAGAUCUACAUGAAUUACUUAACUGGAAUUGAAAAGCAAGUCUUACAUUUAAAUUAAGGUGAUAAAAGCUGUUGUAUUUUUUAAUUUUUUGGAAUAUUACUAUAGAAAAUAAAGAUCAAAAUCAGACCCAAGAGGAGAUAAGACUAGCAAAAUACCCAACCUCUAACCUCAUGGCAGGAGAUGGAUUAUUUUAGAGAAUGACUGGCUGUGAUCCGAAGCAUGGUCCGUGGAAUCUGGUGGAUCCAUGAGGUUUUAAUCAGAAGCAUUUCCACAUGGGGUCAGUGUUUUGUGAUGGGGAGUGCAGGGUGUGCAGAGCUGGGAGGGGUGCAAGGCCAUGUGAGUGAGCUUCUGCUGCAAGAACCACGCCAAGUUUUGUGCUGAGAAUGGGCCUCAUGUUGAAAGAUUGAAUUAGGAAUUUCAGUUUCUUCUCCCUGUCAGUGAGAAAUGUGUAAAAUAUGGUGAGCCAAAGCACAGCAGGAGAUUUUUGGUUGAGAAACCAAAACCAGCCUGGGAAAACUGCUGGGAUGUUGGGUGACCUCUGCUCAUCCCAUGAGGAUUUGGCCAAUUUGAAAAUGGGAUGUUUUUACAAGCUAAACUGACCCCUCUGAGGGCAGCAAACAUGGUCUGUGUUGUGAGAGGUGGUGGCACCCACUCCUUGCUCCACACAGCUGAAAACUCCUGUUUCCUUGGAUGAGGCACAAGGUGGGAUCUCUUUUGUGCAGAAAUCAAUCAUCUGAGCUGUAGGGCAGGAGAGUUUCUAUGCCCACACCCACCCACUGAAAAAAACUCUCCCCAGUAUUUCCAUGCUUCCCGUUUUGCCAUUAAGACAAGAUUUUCUCCUGCAACUGAACAGUAAGUGCUUCAUAAACAGUUCCUCCGUCUGCAAGUGGACCUUGAAAAUUGAUUAUUUUUUGUUUGUUUCUUUUAGUCUCCAAAUGUUUCUGCCAUUAUGAGGCAGGCAGUUAUUUUGCUAGGAAGGAAUGUGAAGAAUUAGAAAAGUUGAAAGCGAUUAGGACUCUGUCUUUUAAGACAGAACCUUUCACAAAGCCUGGCAUUCAGCCUGCUCAGAGUGAGCAUCAUAAGACACCCUGAAGCCUUGAAAUCCCUCAGUUCUAAACCCCAUGGGGUGGCUUUCGCAUGAUCAGGGAAGAGAUGGUAUUGCAGAGGCUAUUUGAUUCAUAUUUUAAAGGCCUCUGAAUUAAUAUUUAUUCUAAGUAGAUGUUUAUUUUUGGAUAGUUUUAUUGUUUAUAGGAAGGCCACAAAGAGUUCAAUGUUAUGGAGAAAUGGUUACUUUGUAUUUAUGGUUAACGAAAAAGAAGAAAAAAGAAAGUUCUAAACAAUCCUGCCCCAGUUCUUUAUUUCAGGAGACAAUGUACUUUCCACCCAUGCACAGGCAGUGCUUUACAGGCUGUAUAAUAAAACGCUGUUCCAGAUAUUGUCUAAAUAGAAACAGAUUUAACCCUGCUGUUGUGACUUGCAUUGCUGGGUAAUGAAAGUUUUCAAUCUGGUUUUACUUUGUUUUAUGCUCGCUGGAGAGCUGCACAUCCACAAAAUCCUGCCUCAUGCACAGAGACCUGUUGUUCCAAUGCCAUCUGUUUGUAUAUAAAAGCAAGUUCAAAUGGAGAAGCAGACGUUGUCUUAAAGAGCAGGAGUUCCUGAAUUCCCCUGUCUGUUUUGUUCCAUUGUUGUGACCUGAAGUGAUGUAUUUUUGCUCCUGCACUAAAUUUCUUCUCUGCAGAAGGGACAUUGUGAUAUUUAUGUAUGCUCUGGGGAAGGUAUCAUUAUUAUGGCAAUUUCUCCAGUGCUUUGCACAUAGACAGAUGCAUUUAAGGAGGUGAGCCUCCCGCUGGUGGGUGUAAACAGGAGCUUGGAGUUCUGCACCUGCAAUUGUGUUUCCUGUAUAAAACUGAGCACUUGUACCAGUAGCAGCCUGACUGCAGAGAUAAAUGAGGCAGCAGCAGUUGCAGGAACUCCUGCUUGUAUCUGUGUUUUCAUUCAUUUGGAAAAAUAACCAGCCACGACUGUUGCCAGGGCAGAUUGUAUUCUCAACCAAGCACUGUGAAAAUCUUCCCCUGCAGUAUUAAACGUUGCAUGAUUUCU